GACGAACGCUGGCGGCGCGCUUAGCGCAUGCAAGUCGAACGGAAAGGCCUGCUUUCCCUUGUGGAUUGCGGGUACUCGAGUGGCGAACGGGUGAGUAACACGUGAGUGAUCUGCCCCCAACUUGGGUAUAAGCCUGGGAAACUGGGUCUAAUUCCCGAUAGGACUGCAGGGUGGUGCCUGUGGUGGAAAACGAUUUUCUAGUGGUUGGGGAUGAGCUCGCGGCCUAUCAGCUUGUUGGUGGGGUAAUGGCCUACCAAGGCGGCGACGGGUAGCCGGCCUGAGAGGGUGGACGGCCACAUUGGGACUGAGAUACGGCCCAGACUCCUACGGGAGGCAGCAGUGGGGAAUAUUGCACAAUGGGCGGAAGCCUGAUGCAGCGACGCCGCGUGGGGGAUGACGGCCUUCGGGUUGUAAACCCCUUUCGACCGCGAGGAAGCCACCUGGUUGGAAGGGUGGUGACGGUAGUGGUAGAAGAAGCACCGGCUAACUACGUG
rnacentral:rRNA from 1 species